GUAACAAUGCCUCGGUCUCUUUGUGUAUGUGUUUGUAGAAUACGCAAUGAAAUACUGUCUCAUCCAAAAACCUUUACUAGAAAAAACCCAGUGAAAAAAAUCUCGGUGAAAGAAAAGAAUGCAGUGCGUAUUUAUAGAUGGCACUGAGCCUACAAGAACUCUCCAAUCUUUUGCUUGUGUGGUUAGAGGUUUGUUUCCAUCUCCAACUAGUCUUUUUUGUACUCAAACCCUUCCAUUUGACGAGGUAUUCCUUGUAUGGUUGGCGCUUGGUGGUGGUUUUGACAACUCAUUUUGU
rnacentral:misc_RNA from 1 species